rnacentral:lncRNA from 1 species
GGCUUUCCAGAGCCAAGGUAUCUUCUUCGAUAACAAGGUAAGGAUAGUCCUGAUACUACCUUUCUUUUGUUAUUGAAGUUUAUUGUUCCUUUUGUUGGGGCUUGGUGGUUGUGCACCUAUAUUGAUUUGUACUUCUGUUAAUUAAUUAUAGUCAUUCUCUCUUGUCUGAGUAAUUAUUGUCAACCAUUUUGUUAGCAAAGGCUUCCCAUGGAUAUUCAGUUUGUUGUGCUGCAUGUCCACGAUGAUUUUCGUGAUUUUAGUUCUAGAUACAUAAAAAGGGCCUUUGCAUCACGACAUGAAUGACUAUUUUUUAAUAUGAACCUACAAUGCCCCAAAUGAAUGCUGGAUUAAAUUAGAUACAGGGUAGAUAGAGAGUGAGAUGGAGAGUGUUUGUGUGCUUUAGAGCCAUCUGUCCCUAAAACAUAGUUUCUUCCCCCCCCUAUAAGAAGUAAGUUUAUUGAUGUAUGUAAUUUACAAAAGGUUUGGUGGAACACCUACAACAAUCUUUUUGAACUUUUUGGUAGGUUAUGAAUUACGAACUUGUAUUGAAUAUUUGUUAGGUCGUUUUAAUAAUUCAAGUGGUGCUUAGAAAAUGCAACCGAGCUUAAACAAUUCUGCACAUUUUUCUAAAAUUUUUAGUUUAACCUUUUUAAUAAAAUUCGAUGGAAAAUCUUGUUUUCUUUUUGUAGGAAUAAAGGAAAAUGAAAUAUAACCAAACUUGGGAUCUUUGCAAGCAAGCUUCCAUGAAGAAACUAGGUUACAAGGGGAGGUCUUCUGUUCUCCUUUUUCUUUUUUUUUUCCAUCCGUAGAAUCUUGCUUAAAAUGCUUUGAGGACAAUGCAUAUUUUUAAGUGGGGGGUGGGGUUGUAGCCUUGCACAUUCCAUGUCCUUUGGGAAAUUUUCAUUUUGCAAAUUUUGCUAAAAAUGUCAAAAUUUAGAAACUUUU